rfam:Triticum aestivum genome assembly, contig: Triticum_aestivum_CS42_TGACv1_scaffold_374712_5AL
CUUAUACUCCCUCCGUCCGAAAUACUUGUCCUAGAAAUAAAAAAUAUGGAUGUAUCUAUAACUAAAAUAGGUCUAGAUACAACCAUAUUGAGGACAAGUAUUUCCGGAUGGAGGGAGUAUAUG